rnacentral:rRNA from 1 species
UACGUAGGGGGCAAGCAUUGUCCGGAUUUAUUGGGCGUAAAGAGCUCGUAGGCGGCUUGUCACGUCGGAUGAGAAAACUCGGGGCUCAACCCCGAGCCUGCAUUCGAUACGGGCUAGCUAGAGUGUUGCAGGGGAGACUGGAAUUCCUGGUGUAGCGGUGAAAUGCGCAGAUAUCAGGAGGAACACAGGUGGCGAAGGCGGGUCUCUGGGCAACUACUGACGCUGAGGAGCGAAAGCGUGGGGAGCGAACAGG